CGGCCCGAGCAGCCAGAGGACAAACCGAGGACGCGCGGGCGGGGGCCAGAACCACCCCAGGGGCCGAGCCCCACGGCCCGGGCUGGGCUGAGGGGACCCUGGGAGGUCCCUGCCCACCCCAGAUCGCCGCUGCUGCGGGUCCUGGGCCCUCUCCUGCCACCGACCACCACCAGGCUGGGGCUGACAGAGCUGAGGCUUGGGACGAGGCCUGGCGGCAUUUUCCCCUCCUGCAUGUGCUUCACCUCCAGCGAGAGCUUCCCCGCGGUGCUGUACGAAGCCCUGCUCAGCCAGGGGGGCUUCCAGCGCCCUGUGGGGGGGCUGCGUCCCUCUCUGAGCAUUUUAUAUAAAAACACCACAUGGAAAUCACUCCUGUUCCUGCCUCGUUCCAUCCCCCUUCGUGUGCUGUCACCGGGGCGGAGAGGGGGCUGGGAGGGCCUUUUAGGACACCUUUAUGUCAAAAAACACCGGGCACGGUCGCUCUUUUCCCUUUAUUUAUUUAUUUAUUUAUUUGGGGGGGGUGGGACCCGGCGGAACGGUGCCGGAGCGGAACGCGCGCCGCCUCCGUCCCGGUCCCGAUCCUGUCCCCGUUCCCGUCCCCGGUCCCGGUCCCGGCCAUGCAGGGCUGCGGCCGCGUGCAAGCGGCCGGGGGGCCGCGGGGCCGCGCUGCCCGCGGGGCCGGACCUGAGGCACUUCCUGAGGGCCCCCCCCGGGCCGCCACCGCCCCCCGGGCCGGAGCUGGGCGCUGCCGCCGGGCCUGGCACAGGUCGGUGCCGCCGGGCCCUGCCCUGCCCUGCCCUGCCCUGCCUGCUAGGCCGAGGCCAGGCUGAAGCCCCGGUUGGGGUUGUGGUGGGCGAGCUGCGGGGCUGUGGGCGCCCCGGGCUGCCAGCAGCAGCUGUGGCAGGGCUUGCAGGGUGCAGUGCCCAGGGGAGAGGGGCAUUAAUUGCAGGGAGAGGGGCAUUCAUUGCACCGAGAGCCGUGUCUCAGUAGGGCAGGAGCUGCAGCCCCUCUGCUUGCCACCGUCCAGGCCUCUGGUGUUGGAGUGAUGUGCUCGGGGGCAUUCGGGUUUCCCAGUGCCACCAGCAGAGCCUGCCUUUAAU
rnacentral:lncRNA from 1 species